CGAACGCUGGCGGCGUGGAUUAGGCAUGCAAGUCGAGCGCGAAAGUGGCUUCGGUCACGAGUAGAGCGGCACAAGGGUGAGUAAUGCAUGAACAACCUACCCUCGAGACUGGAACAACGACUGGAAACGGUCGCUAAUGCUGGAUGGUCUCGUGGAGUGGCAUCGCACCACGAGUAAAGGUGGGGACCUUCGGGCCUGCUGCUCGGGGAGGGGUUCAUGUCCUAUCAGCUUGUUGGUGAGGUAAUGGCUCACCAAGGCAUCGACGGGUAGGCGGGCUGAGAGGCUGACCGCCCACACUGGGACUGAGACACUGCCCAGACUCCUACGGGAGGCUGCAGUCGAGAAUCUUCCGCAAUGGACGCAAGUCUGACGGAGCGACGCCGCGUGCGGGAUGAAGGGCUUUGGUUUGUAAACCGCUGUCAGGUGUUAGGAAAGCGUGCGAGUUAAUACCUCGUACGUUGACAAAGGCACCAAAGGAAGUCACGGCUAACUCU
rnacentral:rRNA from 1 species